GAUGAACGCUAGCGGAAGGCUUAAUACAUGCAAGUCGAGCGGUAAAAUCUGAGCAAUUGGAUUUGAGAGCGGCGCACGGGUGAGUAACGCGUACAUGACCUACCUUUAAGAUCGGGAUAGCCCUGGGAAACUGGGAUUAAUACCGGAUGUGAUAAUAAGUAUAGAGAUUUAUUAUUAAAGCUGAGGCGCUUAGAGAUGGGUGUGCGUCUGAUUAGCUAGUUGGUAGGGUAAAGGCCUACCAAGGCGACGAUCAGUAGGGGCGUGAGAGCGUGAUCCCCCANACGGGUACUGAGACACGGACCCGAUCCUACGGGAGCAGC
rnacentral:rRNA from 1 species